rnacentral:rRNA from 1 species
CUUACCAGGCCUUGAAUCCAAUGAACUUUCCAGAGAUGGAUUGGUGCCUUCGGAACGAUUGAGAAGGUGCUGCAUGGUUGUCGUCAGCUCGUGUCGUGAGAAUGUUGGGUUAAGUCCCGUAACGAGYGCAACCCUUGUCCUUAGUUACCAGCACGUAAUGGUGGGCACUCUAAGGAGACUGCCGGUGACAAACCGGAGUAAGGUGGGUAUGACGUCAAGUCUAAUGGGCCCUUACGGCCUGGGCUACACACGUGCUACAAUGGUCGGUACAAGAGGGUUCCAAGCCGCGAGGGGGAGCUAAUCCCAGAAAACCGAUCGUAGUCCGGCAUCGCAGUCUGCAACUCGACUGGCUGAAGUCGGAAUCGCUAGUAAUCGCAAUCAGAAUGUCGCGGGGAAUACGUUCCCGGGCCGUUGUACACACCGCCCGUCACACCAUGGGAGUGGGUUGCACCAGAAGUAGCUUGUCUAACCUUCGGGGGGACGGUUACCACGGUGGGAUUCAUGACUGGAGUGAAGUCGUAACAAGGUACCCGUACGG